rnacentral:rRNA from 1 species
GACGAACGCUGGCGGCGUGCUUAACACAUGCCAGUCGAACGGAAAGGCCCUGCUUUUGUGGGGUGCUCGAGUGGCGAACGGGUGAGUAACACGUGAGUAACCUGCCCUUGACUUUGGGAUAACUUCAGGAAACUGGGGCUAAUACCGGAUAGGAGCUCCUGCUGCAUGGUGGGGGUUGGAAAGUUUCGGCGGUUGGGGAUGGACUCGCGGCUUAUCAGCUUGUUGGUGGGGUAGUGGCUUACCAAGGCUUUGACGGGUAGCCGGCCUGAGAGGGUGACCGGCCACAUUGGGACUGAGAUACGGCCCAGACUCCUACGGGAGGCAGCGGUGGGGAAUAUUGCACAAUGGGCGGAAGCCGGAUGCAGCAACGCCGCGUGCGGGAUGACGGCCUUCGGGUUGUAAACCGCUUUCGCCUGUGACGAAGCGUGAGUGACGGUAAUGGAUAAAGAAGCACCGGCUAACUACGUG